GACGAACGCUGGCGGCGUGCUUAACACAUGCAAGUCGAGCGAUGAAGCACCUUCGGGUGUGAAUUAGCGGCGAACGGGUGAGGAACACGUGAGAAAUCUGCCUUCAACACUGGGAUAACUCCGGGAAACCGGGGCUAAUACCGGAUAUGAAACCUGCGGGCAUCCGCGGGUUUGGAAAGUUUUUCGGUUGAAGAUGAUCUCGCGGCCUACCAGCUUGUUGGUGAGGUAAUGGCUCACCAAGGCGACGACGGGUAGCCGGCCUGAGAGGGCGACCGGCCACACUGGGACUGAGACAUGGCCCAGACUCCUACGGGAGGCAGCAGUGGGGAAUAUUGGGCAAUGGAGGAAACUCUGACCCAGCGACGCCGCGUGCGGGAUGAAGGCCUUCGGGUUGUAAACCGCUUUCAGCAGGGAAGAAGCGAAAGUGACGGUACCUGCAGAAGAAGCACCGGCUAACUAUGUGCCAGCCGCCGCUUAA
rnacentral:rRNA from 1 species